GUAGGGUCCAAGCGUUAAUCGGAAUUACUGGGCGUAAAGCGUGCGCAGGCGGUUGUGCAAGACCGAUGUGAAAUCCCCGGGCUUAACCUGGGAAUUGCAUUGGUGACUGCACGGCUAGAGUGUGUCAGAGGGGGGUAGAAUUCCACGUGUAGCAGUGAAAUGCGUAGAGAUGUGGAGGAAUACCGAUGGUGAAGGCAGCCCCCUGGGAUAACACUGACGCUCAUGCACGAAAGCGUGGGGGGGAGCAAACAGGAUUAGAUACCCUGGUAGUCCACGCCCUAAACCGAUGUCAACUAGUUGUUGGGGAUUCAUUUCCUUAGUAACGUAGCUAACGCGUGAAGUUGACCGCCUGGGGAGUACGGUCGCAAGAUUA
rnacentral:rRNA from 1 species